rnacentral:rRNA from 1 species
GACGAACGCUGGCGGCGUGCCUAAUACAUGCAAGUAGAACGCUGAAGGAGGAGCUUGCUCUUCUGGAUGAGUUGCGAACGGGUGAGUAACGCGUAGGUAACCUGCCUGGUAGCGGGGGAUAACUAUUGGAAACGAUAGCUAAUACCGCAUAAGAGUAGAUGUUGCAUGACAUUUACUUAAAAGGUGCAAUUGCAUCACUACCAGAUGGACCUGCGUUGUAUUAGCUAGUUGGUGGGGUAACGGCUUACCAAGGCGACGAUACAUAGCCGACCUGAGAGGGUGAUCGGCCACACUGGGACUGAGACACGGCCCAGACUCCUACGGGAGGCAGCAGUAGGGAAUCUUCGGCAAUGGACGGAAGUCUGACCGAGCAACGCCGCGUGAGUGAAGAAGGGUUUCGGAUCGUAAAGCUCUGUUGUAAGAGAAGAACGAGUGUGAGAGUGGAAAGUUCACACUGUGACGGUAUCUUACCAGAAAGAGACGGCUAACUACGUG